rfam:Sphaerochaeta pleomorpha str. Grapes, complete genome.
GGCGGCAUAGCUCAGAUGGUAGAGCAAACGGCUCAUAUCCGUUUUGUCAGGGGUCCGAGUCCCUUUGCCGCUA